rnacentral:rRNA from 1 species
GAGGAACGCUAGCGGCAGGCUUAAUACAUGCAAGUCGAGGGGCAGCAUGGUGUAGCAAUACACUGAUGGCGACCGGCAAACGGGUGCGGAACACGUACAGGACCUUCCUUCGAGCGGGGAAUAGCCCAGAGAAAUUUGGAUUAAUACCCCAUAGUAUAUUGAAAAGGCAUCUUUUUAAUAUUAAAGAUUUAUCACUUGAAGAUGGCUGUGCGGCUGAUUAGGUAGUUGGCGGGGUAACGGCCGACCAAGCCUGCGAUCAGUAACUGGUGUGAGAGAACGACCAGUCACACGGGAACUGAGACACGGGCCCGACUCCUACGGGAGGCAGCAGUAAGGAAUAUUGGUCAAUGGACGAAAGUCUGAACCAGCCAUGCCGCGUGGAGGAUGAAGGUCCUCUGGAUUGUAAACUUCUUUUAUAUGGGACGAAAAAAGGCUUUUCUAAGUCGUCUGACGGUACCAUAUGAAUAAGCACCGGCUAACUCCGUGCCAGCAGCCGCCGUAAAAC